CGAAUCCGCGCGGCGCCGUCACAUCCCGCUCGGGUCACCUUAGCGCUCCCCCCCCUUCCCCCCCGCCCGGCCGGCAUCUCCAUCCACCCCGCGUCUCCGACGGUGGUACCUGGGAAACGAAGAGCCGCGGUCAUGUCCUUCGCCGCGGCGAUACUCGGGGCGCUGAUGCUGCAGUCCGUCUCCUCUCAGAACGAGCCGUCAAUCGCCACCUCCGAACACAUCACACUUCCUGUGGAAGGUGACGCUUUCACACUGCAGUGCAACCUGACCACCACCCACAGUCCCCACCAGGAGAGCUACUGGACGAAGAAUGGGGAGGAGAUCGAGGAAACCCGCAGUCUGAAUAAGAACACCGAGUACAGGCUGAACAAACCAAGGGGAGACGACGCUGGAGUGUACAUGUGUGUCUACACCUUUGAGAUGGCUCCUGCGGCCAAUGCCACCAUUGAAGUUAAAUCUGCUCCUGACAUUACAGGCCACAAGCGUAGUGAGAAUAAGAACGAGGGCCAGCUUGCUAUACUAUACUGUAAGUCUGUGGGCUAUCCUCACCCUGUCUGGACCUGGCGGAAGUUCGAGAAUGGCGCUUUGAGGGAAAUCGACAACUCAACCGGACGCUUCUUCAUCAGCAGCAGAGACAACUACACAGAGCUCCAGAUUACUAACCUGGAUAUUAGUUUAGAUCCAGGCGAGUACCACUGCAACGCCACAAACAUGAUCAGCAGCCGCGACGAGAAGUCUGUGCUGAGGGUCCGCAGCCACUUGGCGCCCUUGUGGCCUCUCCUGGGGGUUUUGGCCGAGAUCAUCAUCCUGGUCAUCAUCAUCGUUGUUUAUGAGAAGCGUAAGAAGCCAGAUGAUUUACAGGAUGUCCACAGCACAGGACAACGUUCUGUUUAGCUUCCUCCAUCUUCAGCAUUAGUAUGAUGACCCAGCUGGACCAGUGAAAACUAAUUCAACCAACAACCACAAAGACAAGAACCUUCGCCAGAGGAAUACAAACUGAACAGCCUGUCUGUUGAGUUUCAUUACACAUGUAUUGACCAUAUGAAGGUAAUCAAGAAGAGAAUCCAUACCAGUUGAUCACAGGAUGUAUCUUCCAUUGAACGUAUGGUUGUGGAGGAGUUAAAUGAGGCAUGCCUUAUGAUUGUGUGAGAUGAGGAGGUGCAUUAUAGGAUUGUUAACAUUAUAAUCACCGUUGCUGCAUGCAGGUAUUGACGUUUAUGUUUUUUUCUCCCUCUCAUCCACUAAUUUUGAAUUUUCACUACUUCUAAAGUAAUGCAUGCAAGAUGUUGACCUUCUGUUUGAUACAGAAAGGGCUUUUUUUGUUUGUGUCUCUGAGAGUGGCUUCAUGUAGAUAAUCUGUACUGUGUUCUAGAGGAAAAACAAAACUCGGCAAUGUAAAAGCAAAUGCCACAGUAAUCUGGUAUGACAGUUGUGUACAGUUUUAUCAUCCCACCUCAUACCAUUUUCUAAGUUUCAUUUAAUUUUCCAAGUUUUAUCAGACAAUAUGUAUGACAUUUUAAGGGCUUUGCAAUGUCCCUAUAAAUUUGGUUAAGGUUUACUUUGCUGUAUGUAUGUACUGUAUGUUUUAAAUCACUAUAACUGUGUAUCAAAUCAUUAAUAUAAAGACUAUUCAUAUUAUAUGAUGCACUUAAAUGUUGACAAUAAUGAAAAACUAUAUAAACUUUAGGAAAUCUGUUAUAAUCAUUCUAACAUAUUGUUUUGUAACUAUGUGUAUUGUACAGCAUGGCUAUUAUCCUAUGCAAUUAUUAUCCAUAUCGAUAUAUUGAAAAUCAUCGCAGCUUUUGAUUUCUCUGUGACAAAGCUUUAAACUAGUAGGAUCACCAUAUUGCGUUGACGGCAUACUACAGCUGCAUGAAUUAUCCACAGCCGACGUGGGAGGAGGCGAGCGAAGGCCCACGUCAAGACUGACACGUGAAGCAAUUCUAAAAUCUCUGAGUCAUUUUUAAGAAUAAAUAUCUCGAAAAGGA